ACCUCGCUGGCGCAAUCAGUUAGCAUGCGCUUCUGAAAACGGUGAUACGCGGGUUCGAAUCCCGCCUAAGGUC